rnacentral:rRNA from 1 species
UGGGGAAUAUUGGACAAUGGGCGAAAGCCUGAUCCAGCGACGCCGCGUGAGCGAUGAAGGCCUUCGGGUCGUAAAGCUCUGUCAGGUGGAACGAAGUAUAGCCGGAUUAAUACCCCGGUUAUUUGACGGUACCGCCGAAGGAAGCACCGGCUAACUCUGUGCCAGCAGCCGCGGUAAGACAGAGGGUGCAAGCGUUGUUCGGAAUUAUUGGGCGUAAAGCGCGUGUAGGCUGCGCUGUGUGUCAGAUGUGAAAUCCCCGGGCUCAACCCGGGACGCGCAUUUGAAACUGCAGUGCUUGAGUGUGGGAGAGGAAAGCGGAAUUCCCGGUGUAGAAGUGAAAUUCGUAGAUAUCGGGAGGAACACCAGUGGCGAAGGCGGCUUUCUGGACCAUAACUGACGCUGAGACGCGAAAGCGUGGGUAGCAAACAGG